rnacentral:misc_RNA from 1 species
UCCGGCUUGACGCCGGCAGUCCCCCGAAGUGCUGGCAACUAGGGACAAGGGUUGCGCUCGUUGAUGGACUUAACCAAACAUCUCACGACACGAGCUGACGACGGCCAUGCAUCAUCUGUCACAGGGUUCCAAAAGGCACACUCUACUUUCGUAGUGCUUCCCUGGAUGUCAAGCCCUGGUAAGGUUCUUCGUUUAGCAUCGAAUUAAAGAACAUGAUCCACCGCUUGUGCGGCUCCCCGUCAAUUCCUUUAUGUUUUAGUCUUGCGACCGUACUCCACAGGCGGGAUACUUAACGCGUUAGCUUCGCUACUGAAGGGGUCGAUACCUCCAACAGCUAGUAUCCAUCGUUUACGGCGUGGACUAC